rnacentral:tRNA from 1 species
GAAAGUACAGCUCAGUGGUAGAGUGUGUGCCUAGCACGCGUGAGGUCCUGGGUUCAAUCCCUAGUACCGCCA